UACGUAGGGUGCAAGCGUUAAUCGGAAUUACUGGGCGUAAAGCGUGCGUAGGCGGCUAUGUAAGACAGAUGUGAAAUCCCUGGGCUUAACCUGGGAACUGCAUUUGUGACUGCAUUGCUAGAGUGUGGUAGAGGGAGAUGGAAUUCCGCAUGUAGCAGUGAGAUGCGUAGAUAUGCGGAGGAACACCAAUGGCGAAGGCAAUCUCCUGGACCUGCACUGACGCUCAUGCACGAAAGCGUGGGGAGCAAACAGG
rnacentral:rRNA from 1 species